GGCUUGCCUAAAGGGGCCGUAGCCGGUUUAAUAAAUCCCUUGUGAAAUCGUUGAACUCAAUACAACGGCAUGCAGGGGACACUGUUAGACUUGAGACUGGGAGGAGUUAGGGGUAUUUCUAGGGGAGCGGUUAAAUGUGAUAAUCCUAGAAAGACCACCUGUGGCGAAGGCGCCUAACUAGAACAGUUCUGACGGUGAGGGAUGAAAGCUAGGGGAGCGAUCCGGAUUAGAUACCCGAGUAGUCCUAGCUGUAAACACUGCGAGCUAGGUGUCGCAUAUUCUACGAGAAUAUGCGGUGUCGAAACGAAGGUGAUAAGCUCGCCGCCUGGGAAGUACGGUCGCAAGACUGAAACUUAAAGGAAUUGGCGGGGGAAUACACCAGGAGUGCGGCGUGCGGUUUAAUCUAACUCAACGCAGAACACCUUACUAGAAGCGACGGCAGGAUGAAGAUCAGUCUGAAGGGCUUAUCUGACGAGCCGAGAGGUAGUGCAUGGCCGCCGUCAGCUCGUGUCGUAAGAUGUCCAGUUAAGUCUGGCAACGAGCAAGACCUGUAUCUAUAAUUGCAAACGGGUCCUUCGGGAUGACUGUGCCCAUUAUAGAGACUGCCUUCGUAAGAAGGAGGAAGGUGCAGGCAACGGUAGGUCCGCAUGCCCCGAAAAGC
rnacentral:rRNA from 1 species